AAAAACAUGUCUUUUUGUUUAUGAUUUAAGGUCUGGCCUGCCCAAUGAUUAUUAUUAAAUGGCUGCAGUAUUUUGACUGUACAAAGGUAGCAUAAUCAUUAGUUUCUUAAUUAGAAGCUGGAAUGAAUGGUUUGAUGAAAAAUUUGCUGUCUCAAUUUAAUUGUAUUACAAUUUUAUUUUUAAGUGAAAAAGCUUAGAUUUUUUAAGAAGACGAGAAAACCCUAUAGAGGUUUAUGUAUUUAAUAUUUAUUUUUUUAUGGUUUUAUUAUUUUUAAUUUUUUAUUACAUUUUGUUGGGGUGAUGCGAAAAUUUUUUUACCUUUUCUUGAUUUUUACUCUGAUUAGUGAGUUAAUGAUCCUUUUUUGGAUUAUAAGAUUAAAUUACCUUAGGGAUAACAGCGUAAUUUUUUUUGAAAGCUCUUAUUGAUAAAAAAGUUUGCGACCUCGAUGUUGGAUUAAAGUUUAUUUUUGGUGUACAACCUAAAAAAUUAGGCCUGUUCUACC
rnacentral:rRNA from 1 species